rnacentral:rRNA from 1 species
GACGAACGCUGGCGGCGGGCUUAACACAUGCAAGUCGAACGGAAAGGCCCUGCUAUUGUGGGGUUCUCGAGUGGCGAACGGGGGCGUAACACGUGAGUAACCUGCUCUUGACUUUCGGGUAACUUCAGGUAACUGGGCUUAAUACCGUAUAGCAGCUCCUGCUCCGUGGAGGGGGUGGGAAAUUCUCGGCGGUUGUGGAUGGAUUGGCGGCUUACCAGCUUGUUGGUUGGGUAGUGGCUUACCAAGGCAGUGAAGGGUCCCCGGCAUGAGAGGGUGGCCGGCCACAUUGGGACUGCGGUACGGACCAGAGUCCUACGGGAGGCAGUGGUGGGAAAUAUUGCCCAAUGGGAGGGAGCCGGAUGAGGAAACGCCGCGGGCGGGAUGCCGGCCUGUGGGUUAAAAAACGCAGUCGCUUGAGACGAAGCGGGAGUGACGGUACUGGGUAAAGAAGCACCGGCUAACUACGUG